GGAUUGUAACACAAUUACUGUACAAUUUUAAAAGCAGGAUUGUUUUCCUGGCUUGCUUUCCUGCCAGCUGUGCUCUGCUCCUUGGUUGGGCGGUGGGGGCCGCAUCAGUGGUUCAGCCUCGCGCCUCUCAUUGGCCUCCCUGCCCUGUACUUAACCCCAAAUCUUCCUGCAGAAAAGAAUUGCACCCAGGGGCCUCCUGAUGCUCUGUGCACUCACAUGUACAUUUUCAUAAGGGUUUGUUAGGAUGUUUUAAACAGUUCCUGCCCACCCCAGCACCCAGCCCUGCCCAGGCUCCAGCUCUGGAUGUGGUCUGUGUAGGACAAGUGCUGACAGCACAGCCACCAGCAGUGCCCAGCAAGGGGAUGCUGCAGCCAGACUCUGUGACACUGCUGUCCCCAUGGGCAGCACCGCUUGGUGCAGACGCUCCACGAGGCCGGACCAGCACCCACCGUGCUGAGAGCCCAGGCAAAGCACAGCCUGGCACACCAGUUCUCUCAGUGGGGAAGCAGAGAGCUGGAGAGUGUGGAAUUGGGGUUUUUAAGGCGUCUGCUAAAUGUGACGUUACGGUGUGGCUCCUGGUGGUACCACAGCACAGAUUCCCAUCAGCAGUCUCUGCCAGAGGUGGCAAUCUUCCUUUCCCACAAGAGCACGGUAAUGCUGGCCGCACACCCACCCCAGCCUGGGGCAUGGAGCACUGCCAAGCCGCCUCUCUGACUGCUGUCAGGGCACCGAGGGGAAAAGCGCAAAAUGUGUGGCAGGAAAGAACUUCUGCUCUUGACUGAGGAUGUGGUCAGCUGUGGAGCUGAGCUGGGGGUUUAAGGCAACCCACCUGGGGAGCUGAGUCCAGGCUGUGCCACGCUGCUGGGGAGCUGCUGAUUGUGCACAGAAGGCAAGGUAAAGUGCAGAGCCUCAGCACAAAGGCUGUCAUGUCCCCACAGAGCAGGUCCCACCCAGGACCCUGCACGUGUCCUUGCUGCUGGCAGCCGAGGCCCCAUAGGACCCUCUUCCUCCUCUCCCCAGUCUGCCCCACGCUUUAUGUGCUGAUGCACAGAGAGGAGAGAUCCCAGGGGAGCCAUUCUCAGGGCCACUGAUGUUCUCACCAGUGCGCUGCUGAGCGGAGGGGGACCUGGCAGGGUGGGAGCAGCACGAGUGCUUUGUGUUGCCAAACUAGGUCAUGCCGUGAACUCGAGUGAUGUGGCAGACAGAGCUAAAAAUACAGGCAGAGCCGAGUGAUUCCCCAGCAGCUGUGAAGGGCUGCAGCCCCAUUGGGUCAGACUUUGACCUCGACCCGGCCACAUCCACGAUGGUCACUGGGGUCCUUGGGCUGCUGUGAUGGGGUGAUUCAGGAGCAGGUAAUGGAAAAGCUCACCAGGGGCUGCAGGGCCAGAAUCAACUCCCCCAGACACAUCUCAGCUGGUGGUGUAAGUCCCUGCAAGGCAACUUGCAGUGGGCUGUUUGGAGAGCCCGUCCUGCAAAACCUGGGCAUCUCAUCCCCUGCUCCUCACCUGUCCCAGAAAACAGCCCCAUCUUCCUGUAAUUAUAAACGUGUGAACCGUUAGUUACUGCAAAAUAACGUGGAGGAGAGAGGACGGCAACACAACCUCAGUCUGAUGCAGAAAACUCACCCAACCAAAUUUUGCUCCCUUAGAAGGGGGCAUUUGUUGUAGUGUCACACACGGAGGGCAUCAAGCAGAUGUGGACAGGUGUGGGGUGUGCUACCGGGACACGGCCGGGUCCUGCACAGGAGAGCUGCUGGAAGGCUGUGGGUGGAGCCCUCCCCAGCCCCAUGGCUUGCAGGGACCCACAGGGCAGCUCAAAGGCUUCUUCUAUCCCUUCUUUGGCACUUUGGUUGUGCCCUCUGUGGUCAGCUCUCCUUGUGCUGCAGGAGAGCACAGGCAGGUCAGUGCUGCUUUUCUCAUCCUCCG
ensembl:lncRNA